CUUGCCCUGGGUUAGUUUAAAAAGAAAAAAAACAAAAACUAAGGCUGACUUCUACUGGGGCAAACUGACCCACCCACAUUACCCAGGAGGCCCCGCGAAUGGACGCUGGUCCCGUAUUUCCCAGAGUUCCCCGCGUCUUUCGCAGGCGUUGAAGACGUCGAAGCUAAAAUGGCGACCGGGACGGGCAAGCACAAGCUGCUGAGUACUGGCCCAACAGAGCCAUGGUCCAUCCGAGAGAAGUUGUGUUUAGCAUCUUCUGUUAUGAGGAGUGGAGAUCAGAACUGGGUGUCAGUUAGCAGAGCAAUCAAGCCUUUUGCAGAACCUGGGCGACCUCCAGACUGGUUUUCUCAGAAACAUUGUGCUUCUCAGUAUUCUGAGCUCUUAGAGACUACUGAGACUCCAAAACGGAAACGGGGUGAAAAAGGAGAAGUGGUAGAAACUGUUGAAGAUGUUAUUGUUCGGAAAUUGACUGCUGAGAGAGUUGAGGAACUAAAGAAAGUGAUAAAGGAAACACAGGAGAGAUACAGGCGGCUAAAAAGAGCUGCAGAACUAAUUGAAGCUGGGCACAUGGAUAACAGACUGGAUGAACUUUGCAGUGACAUUGCCAUGAAAAAGAAAUUGGAGGAGGAAGAGGCUGAAGUAAAAAGGAAGGCUACAGAUGCUGCAUACCAGGCUCGGCAAGCAGUAAAAACACCUCCUCGAAGGCUACCAACUGUGAUGGUCCGAUCGCCUAUAGAUUCUGCCUCCCCAGGAGGUGAUUAUCCACUUGGAGACUUGACUCCAACCACUAUGGAAGAGGCUACCUCUGGGGUAACCCCUGGGACUUUGCCGAGUACCCCAGUCACCUCGUUUCCUGGGAUUCCUGACACCCUUCCUCCAGGCUCUGCACCCUUAGAAGCCCCCAUGACCCCAGUAACAGAUGAUUCACCCCAGAAAAAGAUGCUUGGACAGAAAGCAACUCCACCCCCCUCCCCUCUGCUGUCAGAGCUCUUGAAGAAGGGCAGCCUCCUGCCUACUAGCCCCAGACUGGUAAAUGAGAGUGAGAUGUCUGUGGCUUCUGGCCAUCUGAACAGCACAGGUGUUCUCCUGGAGGUAGGCGGGGUUCUUCCCAUGAUACAUGGUGGGGAGAUACAGCCAACAACCAGUACUGUUGCAGCCUCCCCUGCUGCCUCAGGUGCUCCCACUCUUUCCCGGCUUUUAGAAGCUGGUCCUACACAGUUCACCACUCCUCUUCCUUCCUUCACUACUGUUGCCAGUGAGCCUCCAGUUAAACUUGUGCCACCCCCUGUAGAGUCUGUGUCCCAGGCUACCAUUGUCAUGAUGCCUCCGCUGUCAACACCAUCCUCUGCUCCGGCUGUCUCCACUCCUGAAAGUGUAGCUCCAGUGAAUCAGCCUGACACCUGUGUUCCCCUGGAAGCUGUCGGGGAUCCACAUACUGUGACUGUUUCCAUGGAUAGCAGUGAAAUCUCGAUGAUCAUUAAUUCUAUCAAAGAAGAAUGUUUCCGGUCAGGGGUAGCAGAGGCUCCUGGUGGAUCAAAGGCUCCAAGCAUAGAUGGGAAGGAAGAUUUAGAUCUGGCCGAGAAGAUGGAUAUUGCUGUGUCUUACACAGGUGAAGAGUUGGACUUUGAAACAGUUGGAGACAUCAUUGCCAUCAUUGAGGACAAGGUUGAUGAUCACCCUGAAGUCCUGGAUGUGGCAGCUGUAGAAGCAGCACUGUCAUUCUGUGAAGAAAAUGAUGAUCCGCAGUCCCUGCCUGGCCCUUGGGAGCACCCUAUCCAGCAGGAGCGGGACAAGCCAGUACCUCUUCCAGCACCAGAGAUGACAGUUAAACAAGAGAGGCUAGACUUUGAGGAAGCAGAAAACAAAGGAAUUCAUGAACUGGUAGACAUCAGGGAGUCAGGAGUUGAGAUUAAGGUGGAACCUGCAGAGCCAGAGCCAGGCAUGUCAGGCUCAGAGAUCGUAGCUGGAGCUGGUCCAGUCUCAAGUAUGGAGCCACCAGAACUCAGAAGUCAAGACUUAGAUGAAGAACCUAGAAGUUGUGCAGCUGGAGAGAUUUGUGAAACAGAUGGUUCCAAUGGGAAAGGCGAUGAGAUGCCACUUUCAUCUGUGAAGACAGAGGCAUCCCCUGAAAGCAUGUUGUCUCCAUCACAUGGCUCAAAUCCUAUUGAAGAUCCUUUAGAGGCAGAGACGCAACACAAGUUUGAAUUGUCAGACUCAUUGAAAGAAGAAUCAGGGACUAUUUUUGGAAGCCAGAUAAAGGAUGCUCCAGGUGAGGAGGAGGAAGAAGAUGGAGUCAGUGAAGUAGCUAGCCUAGAGGAGCCUAAGGAAGAGGAUCAAGGAGAAGGCUAUUUGUCUGAAAUGGAUAAUGAACCCCCUGUGGAAGAAAGUGAUGAUGGCUUUAGUAUACAUAAUGCCACUCUACAGUCACACACACUGGCAGACUCUAUCCCAAGCAGCCCUGCCUCUUCACAGUUCUCUGUGUGUAGUGAAGAUCAAGAAGCAAUUCAGGCUCAGAAAAUAUGGAAGAAAGCCAUUAUGCUUGUAUGGAGGGCUGCAGCAAAUCAUAGAUAUGCUAAUGUGUUCCUGCAACCUGUUACAGAUGACAUAGCACCUGGCUACCAUAGCAUUGUGCAGAGACCUAUGGAUUUGUCAACAAUUAAGAAAAACAUUGAAAAUGGACUGAUCCGAAGCACAGCCGAGUUUCAGCGUGACAUUAUGCUGAUGUUUCAGAAUGCUGUUAUGUAUAAUAGCUCAGACCAUGAUGUGUAUCACAUGGCAGUAGAGAUGCAGAGAGAUGUCCUGGAACAGAUCCAGCAAUUCUUGGCCACACAGUUGAUUAUGCAAACAUCUGAGUCUGGAAUCAGUGCUAAAAGUCUUCGGGGGAGAGAUUCUACCCGAAAACAAGAUGCUUCAGAGAAGGACAGUGUCCCCAUGGGCUCUCCUGCCUUCCUUCUCUCUCUCUUUAAAUACAGAAAUGGUCCGGCCCAGCAGAACUGUUCACUAGUUCAUCUUGCCUGUAGACCUGUACCACAAAGAGAACACUGUGAUCUCUAUUCUUUCUUAUUGGCCUGCAACAGUGACUCUGGAUCCUCAUUCAAGUGGCUGGCUAUUGCAAGGCCGGUUAAUAAGAUCUUUUAUCUAUGGAAGACAGCAAAGUUUUGCACAAGAGGAAGGAGCUGGGCUACAGGGAGAGAGCAGCAGAUGGAAAGAAGCCUGAUUGUCCUGAUGUCAUGGAAAACAACUGUCAGGAGGUGCUAGGGAACUAGUGCCAGGGUCAGUCUGCAGGAAAGGCCUUUCUUAUAGGGACCAGCAACUGGACAGGAUGGGGGAACCAGGGGACGCCGCUGUGCCAUUGAAGCAGAUAUGAAAAUGAAGAAGUGAAGCCUCAGAGUUCCCUCUUUGAGCUGAACCUGAAAUAGAAAUAAACAAGAUAUAGCUUGGGCUUGUGGGCUCAGGUCUACACUUGAUCUUAGUCAAAAGGCUGAGAAGCAGUAUGGGCCCAGAAGAGAAGGUUCCUGGGUCAAAUGACAUGAGUUGAGAAAAAUCUCUUUUCAGAGAGUUGGAGUAGCACAGUUGCCCGUUUUAGGGCAAAAAUCAUGGGCUGUGUUAGUGCCCUAAUGUGUAGCUAGAAGAUUGUAGCUUAUUUGUAUUAUCUUGUGAAGUGUACAGACUUUUUAAAAAAAUAAACCUGUGACGUGUGUGUAUAUAACAAAUAGAAGGAAAACUUUGGCCUUUGGUGUGUGUCCUUUGUGUUUGAAAUGUGUUUUCUUCACCAUACCUAAUCAUAUAUGGGGAUAAGAUUGUUAGAGCUGAGAAGUGGUCUUAUAAGCUGUCUGCUGCAACUGAGAAGAGGUGAGUAACCAAGACUGAAUUCAUAAUUGUGUGAAUUAAGUGUGCAAUAAGGGCUAUUGGGGUUUUCUUGAAUGUUUGGGAAACGUUAAGGUUUUCAGGAUCUAGUUCAUAUAUAAUUCCACAGGGAUUAGAGUAUGGACAAAGGUGGCAGAAUAUUGUCAGGAAUGUUUUGUGCCAGGACUGACAGCAAAUGCUAUCAGUAUUUCUAUAGGUAGAACUCUUGUACAAUAUUCUUUUGUUUUUUGAGGUGGAGUCUCUGUAUUUUGACAAGGCUAGAGCUCAAAAUCCUCCAAUUUCAACUUCCCCCGUAGCUUGGAUUACAGGUGCAUGUACCACAUUGGGCUAAGUGAUUUAAAAAAAAAAAAAAAAA